rnacentral:lncRNA from 1 species
GCAAGACCUUACCUGGGAGUCUGCUGGGACCCUCAUCUGACAGGCUCGGGGUCCGAGGCAGCCCUGCCCUGCAGUCAGCCAUCAGUGGUGUCCUCUAGCAGUGGCCAUGCUGAUCCCUCCACAGAGGGGCCUGUAGAGUUGCCCCUGGUCCCCAAUCCUUAGGGUGAUCGCUUACUUGCCUCCUCCCUAGGACAAAAAGAUCAUGGAGAUUCUGGCCACGGCUGGGAACGUUGUCACCCUGACCAUCAUCCCCAGUGUGAUCUACGAGCACAUGGUCAAAAAGUUGCCUCCAGUCCUGCUCCACCACACCAUGGACCACUCCAUCCCAGAUGCCUGAAGCCACUGCAGGGCAGGGCAGGCAGGGGGGGCUUCCCGCCCUCCUGCAGCAAAGGGCAACCACCCUCGGAUGAUGGGUUGCAGCCGGCCUGCUGCUUAAGGUGGGGGCUGCCAUGAGGGGGGCGUGUCCAGGAGGGUGACCAUGGGAUGGCUUAUACACACAGGCCUCCUUGGAGCCUCAGACUCCAAGCUAGGCUGAGGCUCAGGCAGGGCCCACAGGCAGCCGAUUCUCUUGUGCUGAUUUAAAUGCUGGACACGGAGGCAGGCUGUUUAAACGCUGCUUAAAGUCGCAACUGGGCCCCUUUCAAGAAAUUUUGCUCUACCAGGAAAACAGUUACACAUUUUAAGAGAACAGAGCUACGUUCUUUGUGAGAGCUUUUUCCUUGCCUUGACUUGCUCUUUGUCACAGACUGCAUAAGUUGUCAGCCUUGACUAUCUUUUGAAUAAAGAUUUGAUUUUAAACAAAA